AUUUUGUAGCGAGUCAGCGCGGAGCAGAGUAACGAUCUGGACGCCCUCGCGCAAGCCUUCCGGCCCUCACCUCUCGGAGGAGGGACCUUCUGGGGAGCUAAUACUGUAGUGGCCGCCCCCCCCCAGCCCCCCGCAGGGCCGGGAGCCGGAGAGCCCGCGCCAAGGAGAAGCGGCUGGAGUCGGAGGCGGAGAGAGCGAGCACUGCGGGGAGGGAGACGGGGGUCGGGCUGGAGGGUCCAUGCCGAGAAUCUCGGUACCCCCAGCAAAGUUAGCGCCCCGAAGGUCGAGGGGCCGAGAGCCAAGGGACAGGAGCGGGCGCGGAACGGCACGGAGGCUCCCCAGUUGGAGCUCUGGUCUUACAGACUAACACCCAGGGACCACGUACAUUAGUUCCCUGCACCCACCAGUCACCGAUGAUGGUUACCCCACACCCUGAGGUUCAGCAAGAACCAGUCCAGCCAGCUUCACCUCUCUGAUGCCCCAAAUUGCCAGGAGGCCUGAAAUCCCAGGGCAUCGGAAGGACCCCACUUCCCAGUUGAUUGCAAGAGCUAAUAACGAAGUGACGGCCAAGCGGGUUACGGCAAGGCGAAAUGAUGGAGAAACAGCCGCUGGGAAGCCCGAUGGGGGAGGAAGCCCGAGCCAACCCACAAGUGGGCGACGGGAGAAAGAUGAGAGGGCGCGGAAAGUGAGAAGGGGAGCCCGCCUCGCCCUCCCAACACCGCUCGUGAGCCUCUGUCCAGCUCUGACCAUGGCUGCCGGGACUGACGUGCCUUGAGCCCAGCCGCCGGCCACCAAUCGGUGCCCCUCAGGCGGGCCUAGCCGGGCCCUCCAUCCCUCCCUCGGACCCCCAGUGCCGCCCUCCCACCCUCUCCCCUACGCAAUCCGCCCGUGGCCUGCGAACCAUGCCCACGGCGGGAGCGGCUGUGGCCCCCUAGGCCCAAGCGUCCCCACACCAGCAGCUCCCAGACGCACGCGGGGCUUCCCCCGGCCCUCCUCCUCAUCCUCCCGUGGCCGGCCGACCGGCCGGGGUUUCCACAUGGCGGCGGG